CUACUCUUACGGGAGGCAGCAUAUUCUUAUGGGAGGCAGCAGUGGGGAAUAUUGCCCAAUGGGCGGAAGCCUGAUGCAGCAACGCCGCGUGCGGGAUGACGGCCUUCGGGGAAGAACCGCUUCAGCAUGGACGAAGCGUAGUGACGA
rnacentral:rRNA from 1 species